CUGUUUUUCUUUAAUGCCCGCUCGGGUUUGGGGUCGAGGUGUCCCUUGAUGUGCUCCCAAAAGCAUCCAGCCACACUGCUCGGUUCUGGGUAUUUCUCUAUCUUUUCAUUUCUGGAAGCACUUUGCUUCCCGCACUGCUCCGCGAGCACACUGGAAACCUUCAACCCUUAAUCCUGCCCAUGUCUUUUAGUGUCCAUUUAGAUAUUUCAGACCCCUUAUCUCUCUCCCUUGAAUUGCUGAGCAGCGCAGAGGCGGGUGUAAAACGUCUCAGAUGGUCUCACUAGCCCUGACCAGCCAACAUCACAGGUUCCUGCCUUGCAAAAAAAAAAAUGUUUCUUCUUUUUUUUAUUUUCCAGGAAGGAAUGGAAAUUAUCUACCCCCCCCAACCCAGGAGCCACAAGUUUGGCCAGCGAUCGCGCCCCUGUUAUUUGGGGAGGCAAUAACUCCUUUUUCCACUCGCUCCAGCACAGGUUACGUUUGCGAGAGGAAUUUGCAAGGGGAGGGAAGGAGGGAGACUCGUCGGGGCAGACGUGAUGUUUACAGCUCUGGAGAGCUCUGGGUCACCGAUCAAACCAGCAGCAAGUGGCCUGCGGACUCCCCAGACCAGCGCCGUUUUUAACUCUGAGCUCCCUUCUCCCUCCACACCGGGGCUGUUUGCAGCCAGCCCCGCUCUUGCGUGCAGGAAAACCUUCCCUGCACGCAGAAAUCGCUCCCAUCUGACACCUCCGAGAGCCCCGUGCUGGGAUGGGAAUAGGCAAUGUGAGCUGUACGUAAAUCUAAGACAACUCGAUUCACCAUCUUCCACGGGAUUUUCGUGGGAGAGAGCUGGCCCCACCAGUGCGACCAUAAAUAAACCAGAGCUGGGGCUUCCCAGAAGCUUUUAGGACUGCCAGCUGAACAAGCCCCAUGGAAAGCAAGCGGUCAUUGAGCAAACAACCCUUGUCGGCACCACAGCCUGCUAAGACAUGGGGGAACGUGGGGAAGGGACGCAUCCACCCAUUAUUGGAACUGGGACCAGUGACCAGAAAGUACCAAGGCAUGUGACAGCGGGCCCUGUGACAGGAUGCCAUUCCCCUGUUUUAAAUAAUUAUCUUGGUCAUCUUCAGGCACAGGCUGCAGC